rnacentral:misc_RNA from 1 species
AAAUGCGAUAAGUAAUGUGCAUUGCAGAAUUCAGUGAAUCAUCGAAUCUUUGAACGCACAUUGCGCUCCUUGGUAUUCCUUGGAGCAUGCCUGUUUGAGUAUCAUGAAAUCUUCAAAGUAAAUCUUUUGUUAACUCAAUUGGUUUCUACUUUGGUAUUGGAGGUCUUUGCAGCUUCACACCUGCUCCUCUUUGUUCAUUAGCUGGAUCUCAGUGUUAUGCUUGGUUCCACUCGGCGUGAUAAGUUAUCUAUCGCUGAGGACACUGUAAAAGGUGGCCAAGGUAAAUGCAGAUGAACCGCUUCUAAUAGUCCAUUGACUUGGACAAUACUUUUAUGAUCUGAUCUCAAAUCAGGUAGGACUACCCGCUGAACUUAAGC